AAACUAGCUAUUAUCACGAUGAAGGCAAGUUCACCUAUCGAACAGUAGUAUAGCUUUAGCAAGACUGGAUUGUCAAACCCAAAGGAACCAAGAGUACUAGUAAUUACUUUCUUUUUAUUAUCUAGCCUAAAAUUUAAGGGAUUUGUUUAUCUAAACUAAUUAACUAAACUAAGGGUGUACAGAGAGAAAAUUGGGGAAAAGCUUUUAGGAAAACUUGAUUGAUUAUGACAAUACCCAAGGAGAAAU
rnacentral:lncRNA from 1 species